AGUGAACGCUGGCGGUAGGCCUAACACAUGCAAGUCGAACGGCAGCACAGUAAGAGCCUGCUCUUACGGGUGGCGAGUGGCGGACGGGUGAGGAAUACAUCGGAAUCUACUUUUUCGUGGGGGAUAACGUAGGGAAACUUACGCUAAUACCGCAUACGACCUACGGGUGAAAUCAUGUGAUCUUCGGACCUUGCGCGAUUGAAUGAGCCGAUGUCGGAUUAGCUAGUUGGCGGGGUAAAGGCCCACCAAGGCGACGAUCCGUAGCUGGUCUGAGAGGAUGAGCAGCCACACUGGAACUGAGACACGGUCCAGACUCCUACGGGAGGCAGCAGUGGGGAAUAUUGGACAAUGGGCGAAAGCCUGAUCCAGACAUGCCGCGUGGGUGAAGAAGGCCUUCGGGUUGUAAAGCCCUUUUGUUGGGAAAGAAAAGCAGCAGGUUAAUACCCCGCUGUUCUGACGGUACCAAAAGAAUAAGCACCGGCUAACUUCGUG
rnacentral:rRNA from 1 species